rnacentral:rRNA from 1 species
GGGUGACCGGCCACACUGGGACUGAGAUACGGCCCAGACUCCUACGGGAGGCAGCAGUCGAGAAGCUUCGGCAAUGGGCGAAAGCCUGACCGAGCGACGCCGCGUGAGCGAUGAAGGCCCUUGUGGUUGUAAAGCUCUGUCAGAGGGGAUUAAAACGGAGCGGCGAAUAGUCUCUCCGUCUGAAAGUACCCUCAAAGGAAGCUCCGGCUAACUCCGUGCCAGCAGCCGCGGUAAUACGGAGGGAGCGAACGUUGUUCGGAAUUACUGGGUGUAAAGGGUGCGUAGGCGGCCUUGUAUGUCGGAGGUGAAAUCUACCGGCUCAACCGGUCAAAUUGCCUCCGAAACUGCUUGGCUUGAGUCCGGAAGGGGAGGGUGGAAUUCCUGGUGUAACGGUGAAAUGUGCAGAUAUCAGGAGGAACACCGAUGGCGAAGGCAGCCCUCUGGUCCGGUACUGACGCUGAGGCACGAAAGCCAGGGGAUCAAACGGGAUUAGAUACCCCGGUAGUCCUGGCCCUAAACGAUGUCCACUAGGUGUUGGAGGUCCUACCCCUUCAGUGCCGCCGCUAACGCAUUAAGUGGACCACCUGGGGAGUACGCUCGCAAGGGUGAAACUCAAAGGAAUUGACGGGGGCCCGCACAAGCGGUGGAGCAUGUGGUUUAAUUCGAUGCAACGCGAAGAACCUUACCGGGGCUUGACAUCCAGGAGACAGGUGUAGAGAUACACCCUCCUUCGGGUUCCUGGACAGGUGCUGCAUGGCUGUCGUCAGCUCGUGUCGUGAAAUGUUGGGUUAAGUCCCGCAACGAGCGCAACCCUUGCCCUUGGUUGCCAGCACGUAAUGGUGGGAACUCUAGGGGGACUGCCGGUGAUAAACCGGAGGAAGGUGGGGACGACGUCAAGUCAUCAUGGCCCUUACGUCCCGGGCUACACACGUGCUACAAUGGCAGAUACAAAGGGUCGCGAACCCGCGAGGGGGAGCCAAUCCCAAAAAGUCUGCCUCAGUUCGGAUCGCAGUCUGCAACCCGACUGCGUGAAGUCGGAAUCGCUAGUAAUCGCGGACCAGCAUGCCGCGGUGAAUCCGUUCCCGGGCCUUGUACACACCGCCCGUCAAGUCAACCGAAUUGGUUGCACCCGAAGUCGUUGUGCCAACCCGCAAGGGAGGUAGGCGCCUAAGGUGUGGUCAGUAUGGGGGACUAAGUCGUAACAAGGUA